UACGUAGGAUGCAAGCGUUGUCCGGAUUUAUUGGGUUUAAAGGGUGCGUAGGCGGCCUAUUAAGUUAGUGGUGAAAACGUUCGGCUUAACCGGAUACCCGCCAUUGAUACUGAUAGACUUGAGUGCGACAGAGGGUGUUGGAAUGUGUGGUGUAGCGGUGAAAUGCUUAGAUAUCACGCAGAACACCAAUUGCGAAGGCAGCUGCCGAUGUCGUAACUGACUCUGAGGCAAGAAAGCGUGGGGAGCAAACAGG
rnacentral:rRNA from 1 species